CCGACGGUGAGAGACGAAAGCUGGGGGAGCAAACCGGAUUAGAUACCCGGGUAGUCCCAGCCGUAAACGAUGUGCGUUAGGUGUAUCGGUGACCACGAGUCACCGAGGUGCCGAAGAGAAAUCGUGAAACGUACCGCCUGGGAAGUACGGUCGCAAGGCUGAAACUUAAAGGAAUUGGCGGGGGAGCACCACAACAGGUGGAGCCUGCGGUUUAAUCGGACUCAACGCCGGGAAACUCACCAGAUAAGACAGCUGAAUGAUAGUCGGGCUGAAGACUCUACUUGACUAGCUGAGAGGAGGUGCAUGGCCGUCGUCAGUUCGUACUGUGAAGCAUCCUGUUAAGUC
rnacentral:rRNA from 1 species